rnacentral:lncRNA from 1 species
AGAAGUUCCUUUGGAUCUGAGAGUGUAAAGACUCUGGUCCUACAGUCCCUGCAGCAGUAUUGCCUCAUCUAUGACAACGGAGAUCGUCAGGGACUCCUCAAUGCCUACCAUGCCGAGGCUUGCUUCUCAUUGACCGUCCUCUUCAGUUCCACAGACUCAUCCUCCCACAGUCAGCUCAAACUCUUACCUAGAGCACUGCACCCUGCUCUGCAGCAGAGCCAGGCAAUGUCUUGGAAUCAUUUCACUGGCUGGACCACCACAGCUGUUUCCUCCUUUACUCCUGGGAACAGUUUGUGCGAGUACUUCAAGUAUAGCAGAAAUAUGAAGGUUCUCAAGCAUCCUUGUAAGUGUGUGGUGGGUAAGAUGGCGCAGGAUGAAUGGGGACGGAGGGCGCCAUCACAGAUGCCAGAGGCUAAGGUUCCUGAUGUUGCCCUCCCCGUUUCUGCCACACUCUCUUGACUCCACAGCAACAGCUGCUUGUUCCUAGACCCUUUUGUAUGUGACUCUGACUAGGACAAGCUGUGUGGGUGUGUAAAAAGCAUGUGCAACUCCAAGGACACUAUCUUUCUCUCAUCUCCUUUACAGAUAUGUGGAGACGGCUGCUGAAGCAUAAAAAAAUGUGACAUUAUUUGCUUUCUUCGUACAUUGUCCAAAACUCAGCAUGACCUCACCUCCUUUGUGGUGGGCAUGUGUUUCCAGACAGUAAGCACCUGCUACUUCCUUGGGCCACCUCACAUACUCAGAAAGCUGAGGGUGAGCAGAAACUUAUGCAGCACCCUGAGCCUGUGCCUUCUUCUCUUUCAGGAUUCGAUGCUCUGCUUCUCUGUUAGUGGAUUAUUCAAGGAAGUGGAGGGCAGCUCUCAAGGAUGUGUCCAUGCUUUCACUCAGACCUUCAUUGCUACCUAUAUGGGAAGAUUUCAGAGUGCCUUAAUGAUGAGCAGUAGGAUUACAGAAAAGCAAUACAAAGCCUUGCUUUGCUCAAGGUGAAGGACACAAUCCCAGAGGAUACCUUCACACUGACAGGUCCAGGAUCCUAAGAACAUACCAAGAAGAAAUUCCUGGGUGCCACUGUCUUCUUUCUUCAAACCUCUGUUGUGAUUUUGUUCUAGUACAGUAAUUUCCAUGUAAAUGAAUUGGGACAUCUAGUUACCUUCUGGAAGCUAAGGCCUAUCUUGUAAAGCUAACUCUUACAUAUCUAAAGGAGAUGUUGUUUGUGCAUUUGCCACAUAUUUCAGGAUCCUUGUUUAUUAUACUUUCUCUUAUUAUAAAUUUUAUUCAAUUUGUUGAGCAUUUCGUGUUUAUGUAAUAUAUUCUAGUUACUUUCACCCUUCCCCCUGUCAAAUCUCCUUCCUACCCCUCCCUCUUCCCUAUAAGUCUGUGUCUCACACUCAUGGCUUUUGUUUUGUGUUAUGCCUCUGUGAGUAAAAACAGGGCCAUCUAUGUGACCAUGUGUUUAGAACUGUCCAUUGGGUUCAGCUGUCAAUACACAGUUAAAGACAAUGAUUGUCUUUCCUCUAGAAUCUGUCAGUGGCCAAUAGUUUGGUAGAGAGGGAUAGGCCCCCAUUCUAUGAUCAACUAAUGAGAGGCCUAGUCUUGUCUAGGCCCAAUAGAGGCAAUCUCAGUCGCUGAAAGAUUAUGGUAAUUAUGUCAUGCUCAGAAGAUACUAUUGAUGUUGCCAGUCACGUUGAAUCCCUUCAAAAUCCACUGAAGGCAAACCAUUAUUAUAAGAAUGAGU